GUGGUUUGUGAAAAAAAAAAAACAUGCGUUGGUACCAUGGUGACUCACUUAUCAAUAAGGGUGUGAGUCUCAAAUUUUGCCACGACACUCACAAGUUUCUCGAAAUAGAUUGAGAGAGAAUACGAUAGAGAGAGAAAGUAGAAAGGAGAGGUAACAGACGGCAGCCGGGUGGUUUCAACCUCCGACAACGGCAGAGGUAAGGUCGCAUCCUUCACCUCCGACGCCUACAGUCUGAAACUCGAAAGAUAUUCAAGACUUCGAUUUGUUCGAGCUCUGAGAUACCAAAUUAAAUGGAGACACCAUUUGUAGUUAGACUUGCAGUUGCUGGUGUUGCAUCUGCUGGAACGUAUGGAAUCCAAGUUUGUAGUUCAGACCAGUCACACAUGUAGUUCACAAAUUUUAUCAUGGCAGUUUUCAACCUCAAAAAAGGAGGAACGGAGUAAGAAGUCUUCAAUUAUGCUACUUCGCACACUUACUCACCGCCACAAUCAAGUAGUAAAUCCUUAAGGUUUUGACCAACAUAGCUUAGAACAUAGGCCACUUUUCAUAUACGCAUAAAUCUCGUACCACUUAGCCUAAUUUUUAUGUAUUUAGUAUAGUAAGGGGGCUGCACAAUUUGGUUUCAAAAAUAUGUUGGAUCUCCAUGGUUCGUAGCUUAAUUUAAAGGGUUGUUUCAGUAGGUGUAAGUACAAGAAUGUUUGAGACAUACAUGGCUACAAGAUGUAUUAGGCGUAAUUCCAAAUUCGCAUAAAUGAAAAAAAGCCUACCUGAUUCCAAACACAAUACACACCAGGGGGACGAUGACAGAUUCGGGGGUCCACCCGGUUUCCAAAACAUGUUACAACAAAUUAUGAACGUUGUUAGUUGUUUGUAUAUUAACGAGAGAUAGGGAGCUUGUGAACUAGCGAAACAGUGUAUUUGAUUCGAAUGUUUUAUGUUUAUCAUCUAUACUUUUAAACUUCUAAUACAAUAUAAUCCAUUUUUGCAGUAUAAAUUAACAGGUUGUAACAAGCCGGCUGAAUUUUUUGGCAGAUUGCAGGCGACAUUACCCGGGCCAUAUUGCCUCUUGGAAUUUCACCAGCUUGCAAGUAAAUUUUAUUCGCAAUGGGUCAGACUGCAUAUGGUAGCGUAGAUAUAUUCGCAACAAGUUACUUAUAGUGGUUGUAGCAUAGUGCUAAUAUAAUUAUUGUAUAAUACGAGACACGGUUAUUUUGCAACCUGGAAUACUACAGUUAGCAAUCAACAAACUCAUGAAAGGCUUAAACUCAUUUAAGCCUUUAGUAGGCGUCAAGGGAGGUAAGCUCUUUAAUAACAUUAGGAUCUACAUAACACGAACAUAUAUGUUCUGAUUAUACUUUGCAUAUGUUCUUGAGUAACAUUAGACCUUUAUUGGUAUAGAUUUUUCUUUAGUUACGUACUCCCUUGUACGUAACACGUAGCCCAAACUAAUAUCAAUUUCCAGUGCGGCUCUAGCCAUACUGUUUAAAAGGGUUGCUGAAAUACAACCACAGGAAUCAGGAUGCAGUCGAUUUCAUUGAGGGCAGGAUACUGGAAACUGGCAAACUGCUGGAUUCAAAGCAAAAUGGUGUUAGGUGAUGUUGGAUCAUGCACAUAAUAUAGGCAAGCCAACUAAGGAGAAAAAGGCCAUACACGUGGUCUUUUUGUUGGCUAUCCGGAAACUUUGGAAUCGAAGAAACGAGAAAGUUCAAGGAGUGCUCCUAUGGACGAAUAGGGUCAAAUGUGUUGUAGUAACUUUGUUCAAGUAAUCUGUUGUUUUUUGUUAUUUUUUAGUCUUAGGGUUGGUUUGUUGGCUUAGCUGCUUGCUAAGUCCAACUUUUUGUUCGCUACAUACUGAAUUACUAAUUCAAAUAACGCAUUUGUCA